GAUCAUGGCUCAGGAUGAACGCUGGCGGCGUGCCUAACACAUGCAAGUCGAACGGAGUUUACAUGAAACCUAGUGAUUGUAAACUUAGUGGCGGACGGGUGAGUAACGCGUGGGUAACCUGCCCUGUACUGGGGGGAUAACACUUAGAAAUAGGGUGCUAAUACCGCAUAAGCGCACAGUGCCGCAUGGCACAGUGUGAAAAAACUCCGGUGGUACAGGAUGGACCCGCGUCUGAUUAGAUAGUUGG
rnacentral:rRNA from 1 species